UGAGAGAAAAACUUCGCGGGAGCAGAGCAGUGACCGUACCUAAUCUGACACAGGAGGGCGAGGCGAAUAGCCUCAGGCGCUCGAGAGAACCCUACGUGAAGGAACUCGGCAAAUUAACCCCGUAAGUUAGCGAUAAGGGGCGCCUCCGCAAGGAGGUCACAGGAAAACGACAGCUGCGACUGUUUACUAAAAACACAGGUCUCUGCGAAGUCGUCAAAGGCGACGUAUAGAGACUGACGCUUGCCCGCUGUUGGAACGUUAAGGUGACUGGUUAGCCGCAAGGCGAGGCUGGGAGCCGAAGCGCCAAUGAAGGGCGGCCGUAACGAUGACGGUCCUAAGGUAGCGAAAUUCCUUGUCGGGUAAGUUCCGACCCGCACGAAUAGCGUAACGACAGCUGUACUGUCUCCACGAGGGACUCGGCGAAAUUGUAGCUGUGGUGAAGAUGCCACGUACCCGCACCAAGACGGAAAGACCCCGUGAACCUUUACUGUAACCUAAUACUGGCUCUAGGUUCGCCAUGUGUAGCAUAGGUGGGAGACGUUGAUGUCGGGGGCGCCAGCCUCCGAAUAGUCAUCAGUGAAAUACCACUCUUGGCGUACUUGGAGUCUAACCUGCGACCGUUAUCCGGCGUGGGAACAGUGUUAGGCGGGCAGUUUGACUGGGGCGGUCUCCUCCUAAAAGGUAACGGAGGAGUUCAAAGGUACCCUCAAUGCGGUUGGCAAUCGCAUGCAGAGCGUAAAAGUAUAAGGGUGCUUGACUGCGAGACACAUAGGUCGAGCAGGUACGAAAGUAGGAUUUAGUGAUCCGGUGGUCCCGUGUGGAAGGGCCAUCGCUCAUCAGAUAAAAGGUACUCCGGGGAUAACAGGCUGAUCACGCCCAAGAGUCCAUAUCGACGGCGUGGUUUGGCACCUCGAUGUCGGCUCAUCGCAUCCUGGGGCUGAAGGCGGUCCCAAGGGUUGGUCUGUUCGCCCAUUAAAGCGGUACGUGAGCUGGGUUUAGACCGUCGUGAGACAGGUCGGUCCCUAUCUGGUGUGGGCGCAGGAUGAUUGCGGAGACUCUUUCCUAGUACGAGAGGAUUGGAAAGAACGAACCUCUGGUGUGCCAGUUGUCGCGCUAGCGGCAUCGCUGGAUAGCUAUGUUCGGACAGGAUAAGCGCUGAAAGCAUCUAAGCGCGAAGCCAACUCCAAGACUGGUCAUCCCCCGAGACACCUGGUAGACCACCAGGUUGAUAGGCCGGAAGUGUAAGGACAGCAAUGUCUUCAGCUAACCGGUACUAACCAGUCGAUCGGCUUGAUUU
rnacentral:rRNA from 1 species